CCUCGACCAAAAGUGAAAGUAACUUAGGAGAGGUGAAAUGGUAAAAGAUGGAGGAGCUUACCGUGAGGAAUAAUCCGACCGUUGAGGAGGAUAAGACUCGGCCAUGACAGCCUGUCCCUAGCUGCAAAGGUAAAGCAAAAAGGAAAGAUGCUUUACACAUGUGGGAACAGCCAUUGGAUGAAUUCAAACCUAGUCUCUUCUCUUUAUUGACUUCACAUGCUUACCCUUAUCCUUAAUUCUCCAAAACCCUUGGAUCCUAUCCUAUAUAUUGUAAAAUCUCUCAUUAAUAAAUAUAAUAAUAUUUUGAGUCAGUCUCUCUCUCGUUCUUAUGAGUUCAUGAUGAUUCUUCACUAAACUCUCUACAAUCUGAUUUCAUUCUCUUAUUCUCUAAUUCAAUCAAUCUCUUUCUAUAAAAGUUUUAUGGUAUCAGAGUCAGGUUGCUCAUAACCUGGUUGUUCAUUUUGCAAACCUUCAGCUUCAGUUUAGGAUAAUACCACGAUCUGAGUCUUGCAAGACAAGAUGGAAGGAAACAAGGUGCUGAUGGUUCCGGUUACUCUGAAAGGUGGUGGAAACUACCUGCUUUGGUCACGGCUGGUGAAGACAGUCAUUGGGUGCAAGGGUUUAUGGGGCCACAUCUCAGAUGGAGCUCCAAAACCAGUUGCUGAGGACGGAGGCUCCACGGAGAUAGUUGUAGCAAAUCAAGAGAAGUGGGCGCAAGAUGACCUGAAGGUGCUAGCAGUGUUGCAAGGGUCUCUUGAAGAGUCGAUCUUGGAGCCAUAUAGCUAUUGUGAGACCCCAAUGGCGUUGUGGGAGACACUUCAGAAAGUGUAUGGCAACAUCUCCAAUCUGAGAAGAGUGUUUGAAGUAAAGAGAGCUAUCAACACACUGAUGCAAGAAGAGGAGGAGUUCACCAAGCACUUGGAAAAGUUUAGGGCCUUGUGGUCUGAACUAGAGAUGUUGAGGCCAAAUACCAAUAAUGAAGCUACGCUGAUGGAGAGGCGUGAGCAAGAUCAAGUGUUUGGCUUGCUGUUGACACUGAAUCCGGUGUAUAUGGAUGUGAUUAAGCACAUGCUGAGGCCCACAAAGCUUCCCUCCUUUGAUGAUGUGUGCGCGCAGCUACAAAAGGAGGAUGAUUCCCUUAGCUUGUUUGGUGGAAAGGGGGAGAUGACUUCGGCGAAUCAAGCUGAGACAGUCCAACCAAACAAGGCGACCUAUAGAGGAGAGGUGAGGAAGUUUAGUGGCAACUGUGACCAUUGCAAGAAGCCAGACCACAAGAGGAGUCAAUGUUGGAUACUUCAUCCCCACCUCAAGCCAGCUAAGUUUUCCAAGGACCGUGAUGGAAGGGCACACCUCUCAGCUGAAUCAAGUGAGGCCGGUUCAUCAAGAGGAAGCACUGGUGCUGGCGUGAGAGCUGAGGAAAUUGAUGUCAAGGCUAUGGCAUCUCAGCACACUCCCGGGAAGAGCAGCAUGGAGCAUGAACUGAUCAGGCAAUCUGACAUAGAUGCUCUCAUCAAGGCUCUCAAGGAGAAUGGUAGCUCUCUUACUCAUACUCUAGGAUACUCAUAUGCUGCUUGUAGUAUACCUAGGAGUCUUGAGAACAUAGAAACUGGACUGAAAAUGCCUAGAACCUGUAUUUCUAGAAUUGAAUCACCAAGUAGCUUUGCUGUUCAAAACAUGAUUAAACCUUUAAUUGUGGAUUCUGGUGCUUCUCAUCAUAUGAUAAGUGACACUAGUCUUAUAAAAGAUAUAGAACAAUCUACUGGACAUGUAAUGAUUGCAAAUGGUGAUAGGAUAGCAAUAAAAGGAAUAGGAAACUUGAAACUAUUCGAUAAGGAGACUAAACCUUUCUAUAUGCCUGAAUUUACAUCUAAUUUAUUAUCUGUCAAGAAAUGUACUACUGAUUUACAUUGCAAUGUUAUCUUUAGUCCUAAUGAUGUGAAGUUUCAGGAUAUUGAGAGUCAUAAGUUGAUUGGAAAAUGAGUAACCAAGGGAGAUCUUUAUAUGCUUGAAUACAUUGCUCAUGUUUCUAAUCUUAGUUAUUCAUUUCAAUCAGUUUCCGCUUUGAAAAAUAAUGCAUUGUGGCAUGCUAGACUAGGCCAUCCUCAUGUUAGAGCUUUGAACCUAAUGUUACCAGGUGUCAUGUUUAAGAAUAAUGAAUAUGAAGCAUGUAUCUCAAGUAAACAUUGUAGAACUGUUUUCCAAAAGUCUAGUACUAUUUAUGAAAACUGUUUUGAUCUUGUGCAUUCUGAUGUGUGGACUGCUCCAUGUUUAUCUAGAGAGAAUUAUAAGUACUUUGUAACAUUUAUUGAUGAAAAAUCUAAAUACACCUGGAUAACACUCAUUAAAACAAAGGAUAGUGUGCUUGAAACAUUUAAAAACUUUCAAUGCUAUGUGACUAACCAAUAUAAUGCCAAGCUUAAGAUUUUCAGAUCUGAUAAUGGUGGUGAGUAUACAAGCAAAUUGUUUAAGCAACACCUAGCUCAACAUGGGAUUCUUCACCAAACUAGUUGCCCCUAUACCCCUCAGCAGAAUGGUGUGGCAGAAAGGAAAAACCGACACCUUAUGAAAGUUGCUCAGUCCAUGAUGUUUCAGAGUAAUGUUCCUAAGCAGUAUUGGAGUGAUGUAGUUAUGUCUGCGUGCUAUCUGAUCAACAGGAUACCAACCAGAGUGCUGCAAGAUUAGUCUCCAUUUGAAGUUCUCAACAAGAUCAAGCCAUCCCUAAACCACUUGAGAGUGUUUGGCUGCAUGAGCUAUGUGAUGGUACCAGGAGAGAUGAGAAACAAGCUUGAGCCAAAGAGUAUAAGGACUAUGUUCAUUGGAUACUCACCAUCUCAAAAGGGGUACAAAUGCAUUGAUCCAAAGACGAGAAGAGUGCAUGUAUCUCGAGAAGUGAAGUUUAUGGAAACUAAAGGAUACUAUGAAGAAAGGAGUUGGGAGAAUCUAAAAGAUCUGUCUCGAGAUUCUGAUAAGGCCGCAAGCCUUAGGAUCAUCUUGGAAGGUCUUGGGAUCAAUCUGACCCAGGAUCAAGGAGGACGGAACUCAUCUAGUUCUCCUGAAGCUGAAGAAACAUCCCACUCUAAUCAUGAGAGGGGGAAUGAAACUGAAGAAGCAAGUCAUCCGGAAGAAGACUUGAGAGACUCUGAUCAGUGUGUGAUGAUGCAAGAUGAAGGGGUUGAGGAAAUGAAUGAGCCAGAACCUGAUGAAGGGAUAGUACAAGAAGAGGAAAGUGAUGCGCAACAAGAGAAUGUGCAAGAAGAAGCUGGGCCAGUCUCAUCUCCGGAUAGUGUCUCGGCCAUUCCACCAUUGAGGAGAAGCACACAGUUGAAGAAGGAUGCUUCCAACUGGGUAAACACGAGAGUGUACUACAAUGCCCAGGUUGUGGAGCAUCCUUCCCAAGCAGUGUGUUCCUUUGCUCAGUUCCCAUUAGAGCAUUGCGCCUUCAUGAUAAGCUUAGAUGACAGCUUUGUACCAAUAUCAUAUGAAGAGGCAAUGAUGCAUGAGGAAUGGAAAGAAUCUGUUGGAGAUGAAGCCAAUGCAAUAAUCAAGAAUGACACUUGGUUUGAGAGUGAACUUCCAAAAGGGAAGAGGGCAGUUACAAGCUGAUGGAUAUUCACCAUCAAGUACUUGCCAAAUGGACAGAUUGAUAGGAGAGACAAGAUUGGUGGCUAGAGGAUACACUCAAACAUAUGGAAAGGACUACAUAGAUACAUUUGCCCCGGUUGCUAAGCUACACACCAUCAGGAUAGUAUUAUCUUUGGCUGUGAACCUUGAGUGGGAUUUGUGGCAAAUGGUUGUGAAGAAUGCUUUUCUUCAAGGAGAGUUAGAAGAUGAAGUCUAUAUGUACCCUCCACCAGGCUUAGAAGGUCUUGUGAAGCCAGGGAAUGUUCUAAGACUAAAGAAGGCUAUCUAUGGCUUGAAACAAUCUCCUAGAGCCUGGUACAACAAACUCAGCACCACUCUAAAUGGGCAUGGCUUCAGGAAGUCUGAAUUGGAUCACACUCUCUUCACACUUACUACUUCAUUAGGUAUCAUCUGUUUACUUGUGUAUGUUGCUGAUAUCAUCAUAACAGGUAGUGAUAAGAUUGGAAUAAGAGAAACAAAAGAGUUUCUCAAAUCUGUCUUUGAAAUUAAAGAUUUGGGAGAAAUGAAAUACUUCCUUGGGAUUGACAUAUGUAGACCGAAGGAAGGUUUAUUCAUGUCUCAGAGAAAGUAUGCACUUGAUCUUUUGAAAGAUGCAGGUUUGCUAGGAGGGAAGACAGCCAAAAUGCCCAUGGAGGAUGGGUAUAAGGUUCCACGUGAGGGGGAGAUUGAGGAUAGCAAGUUGUUUCAUGAUCCAAAGCUUUAUAGGAAGCUAGUGGGUAAGCUCAUAUACCUAACCAUCACACGGCCUGAUAUAUGUUUUUCUGUGAAUCAGGUGAGCCAACACAUGCAAGUACCAAAGGAGCAUCAUUGGCGCAUGGUGGAGAGGCUCUUGAUGUACCUGAAUGGAUCAGCCGGUCUAGGAGUCUGGUUGGGAUGCAACAAGAGUACUGAAGUAGUUGGGUAUUGUGAUGCUGAUUGGGCUGGUGGUCGAGCUGAUAGAAGAUCAACUACAGGCUAUUGCACCUUCAUUGGAGGCAACCUAGUGACUUGGAAGAGCAAGAAGCAGAAGGUGGUGUCUUGUUCAAGUGCAGAGGCUGAGUAUAAAGCAAUGCUGAAUCAAGAGGAUCUUGAAGCAUUUGCAGAUUGAGCUAGCUACACCAAUGACUAUGCAUUGUGAUAACCGAGCCGCAAUUCAUAUAGCCUCCAACUCAGUGUUCCAUGAGAGAACCAAACACAUUGAAGUGGAUUGUCAUAAGGUGAGGCAGAUGAUAGUCUUGGGAGUGAUCUUGCCAUGCUAUACAAGAAGUGAAGAUCAGUUAGCUGAUGUCUUUACCAAAGCCGCAAGACAGAAGACCAUGGAGUCCAUUCACAUCAGGCUAGGACUUAUUGAUCUCACACCAAGUGGCUUAGUCCCCUUACCAUGGGGUCUUUACUCUUUUUCCCUUAUCAAGGUUUUGUCCCAAUGGGUUUUCCUUGGUGAGGUUUUUAAUGAGGAAGAUCUCAUGAUUUCCAAGCUUGAUCAAUCAAUAAGAUCAAGCUUGAGGGGGAGUGUUGAAAUGAGCUGAGUUCAGUGUAUAAGAAGGCAUAAGGGAUUGAGGAAUGAAGUUGAGAAGGGUUGGGCGAGUUUGGGAUCGACCUGGUCCGUACAAGACCGUACGGGCCGUACAGGCCGUACGCAUCAAGGGCAAACCUAACCUCGACCAAAAGUGAAAGUAACUUAUGAGAGGUGAAAUGGUAAAAGAUGGAGGAGCUUACCGUGAGGACUAAUCCGACCGUUGAGGAGGAUAAGACUAGGCCAUGACAGCCUGUCCCUAGCUGGAAAGGUAAAGCAAAAAGGAAAGAUGCUUUACACAUGUGGGAACAGCCAUUGGAUGAAUUCAAACCUAGUAUCUUCUCUUUAUUGACUUCACAUGCUUACCAUUAUCCUUAAGUCUCCAAAACCCUUGGAUUCUUUCCUAUACAUUGUAAACUCUCUCAUUUUUAAAUAUAAUAAUGUUUUGAGUCAGUCUCUCUCUCGUUCUUAUGAGUUCAUGAUGAUUCUUCACUAAACUCUCUACAAUCUGAUCUCGUUCUCUUAUUCUCUAAAUCAAUCAAUCUCUUUCUAUAAAAGUUUUACAAACCACAUAUCUUACACUUUCUCUAAAAAUACAUCAAAAACUGAAUAUUUUGAUUACAAAUUAUGUAAGGUUCAUAAGCUCAUGAUUCUUGGUGAUUAACGAGUAGGUUGUUGUUGUGGUGAAGUUCUGGGUGAUUGGAGAAACCACGCAA
rnacentral:lncRNA from 1 species